GGGCAGGUAGCUCAGUCGGUACGAGCACUCGCCUGAAAAGCGAGGGGUCGGCGGUUCGAUCCCGCCCCUGCCCA
rnacentral:tRNA from 1 species